rnacentral:sRNA from 1 species
UCAAUUGAUGACAAGGUUGGUAGACAUAUUAAAAUGAUCGACAAUGUCUAUAAUCCUGCAGCCAUUGCUGUUGAUUGGGUGUACAAGACCAUCUACUGGACUGAUGCGGCUUCUAAGACUAUUUCAGUAGCUACCCUAGAUGGAACCAAGAGGAAGUUCCUGUUUAACUCUGACUUGCGAGAGCCUGCCUCCAUAGCUGUGGACCCACUGUCUGGCUUUGUUUACUGGUCAGACUGGGGUGAACCAGCUAAAAUAGAAAAAGCAGGAAUGAAUGGAUUCGAUAGACGUCCACUGGUGACAGCGGAUAUCCAGUGGCCUAACGGAAUUACACUUGGUAUGUAUGUUCUUCCUUCUCGACCACCCACUCAACUGUGUUUCCAUUUAUCUCCAUGGUGAAUUCUGGACUAGCAGAUGACUCUACUGCUUCCGCCUAAAUUCUAGCAGGAAUUUUCAAUGGGAGUAACUGAACAACACAAGUAAAAUGGUGGAUUAACAAAUUAC